rnacentral:rRNA from 1 species
AUUGAACGCUGGCGGCAUGCUUUACACAUGCAAGUCGAACGGUAACAGGCCUUCGGGUGCUGACGAGUGGCGCACGGGUGAGUAAUGCAUCGGAACGUGCCCAGAGGUGGGGGAUAACGCAGCGAAAGCUGUGCUAAUACCGCAUGUGAUCUGAGGAUGAAAGCGGGGGACCAGGCAGCAAUGUUUGGCCUCGCGCCUUUGGAGCGGCCGAUGUCAGAUUAGGUAGUUGGUGGGGUAAAGGCCUACCAAGCCGACGAUCUGUAGCUGGUCUGAGAGGACGACCAGCCACACUGGGACUGAGACACGGCCCAGACUCCUACGGGAGGCAGCAGUGGGGAAUUUUGGACAAUGGGCGCAAGCCUGAUCCAGCAAUGCCGCGUGCGGGAAGAAGGCCUUCGGGUUGUAAGCCGCUUUUGUACGGAACGAAAAGGCUCUGGCUAAUACCUGGGGCUGAUGACGGUACCGUAAGAAUAAGCACCGGCUAACUACGUG